UACGAAGGGGGCUAGCGUUGCUCGGAAUCACUGGGCGUAAAGGGUGCGUAGGCGGGUCUUUAAGUCAGGGGUGAAAUCCUGGAGCUCAACUCCGGAACUGCCUUUGAUACUGGGGAUCUUGAGUCCGGGAGAGGUGAGUGGAACUGCGAGUGUAGAGGUGAAAUUCGUAGAUAUUCGCAAGAACACCAGUGGCGAAGGCGGCUCACUGGCCCGGUACUGACGCUGAGGUGCGAAAGCGUGGGGAGCAAACAGG
rnacentral:rRNA from 1 species